rnacentral:rRNA from 1 species
CGGUUUUAGUGGCGGACGGGUGAGUAACGCGUGGGUAACCUGCCUCACACUGGGGGAUAACACUUAGAAAUAGGUGCUAAUACCGCAUAAGCGCACGGGACUGCAUGGUCUUGUGUGAAAAACUCCGGUGGUACAGGAUGGGCCCGCGUCUGAUUAGCCAGUUGGCAGGGUAACGGCCUACCAAAGCGACGAUCAGUAGCCGGCUUGAGAGAGUGAACGGCCACAUUGGGACUGAGACACGGCCCAAACUCCUACGGAAGGCAGCAG